ensembl:lncRNA MIR663AHG MIR663A host gene
GGAGUCCGCCUGGGCAAUGCGCAUGCGGGAGGCACGAGCCCAUUCUCCCGUGACGGUGACUCCAACGGUUGGCUGAGGACGAUUCCCUGAGCCUUGACAAAGCAGGAGCCCUCCGUGGCGGUGCGUCGGUGUCGAGGCUCCAGUCUGACUAAUCCAGGGGGUCGACAAAACAGAUUCGGGACACUAUGCUACACGGAGGGCCUACCAGGAUGCAGAAACAGCAGACGGAGUCCAGGGAAAGCAGUGCGGCAUCCCAGCCUCAGGCCUGCCCGUACGGUGUUCGGGAGGGGAGGAGACCAAUGUGAAAGGAGAUGGUUCUAUCUCCUCGCGGCUCUUCUCUGAGAAAUGAAGCCACGAUACGAAACAAUCUUCAAGAAGAAGCUGAAAACCGGAUAUGACACGGAUGUCCCCAGAACACAGCAGGCAUCCUGAAGCUCCGCCUCCUGAAGCUCCCCCUCCCUCGGUGGAAGUCGGCUCAGGGAGGUCCUGAGGACAGGACUCCUGGGGGUUUGGCUGCAGAAUGAAUUCAUUAGGACUUUAUAUAAUUUUUCAAAUCAUGAAAUUGCGCAAGCUUUUGAAUAUGGAAUUGGGAGGGCUUUCAGUUCAUUCAGUAGAAAACUGGAACAUUUUUGAAAGGUGAUCUGCUUGACACCUUUCAAAGAGCACAAAACCUUGUGAAGUAGCAGAUGCAAUGAUUACCAAUGUACUUUAUAAAAUGACUUUCAGAGUUUGAGAUGAAAUUGGCUUUUCUGAAAUAUGUAAGUCUCUGGAAAAACUCAACAUUUCUAAUCUUGCUUUGGAAAGCCUUUAAGUAUGUAAAAAUCAAUUUCUUAUAUCUUCUCUGAAAUAAACAUGGAAUAUCCUAAGGUUUUGUUCAUGUUUCAUGAAUUUCACAGCAUUCAUCAUAUUUUAAAGUUAUUUUUGAUACUUUGCAUUGUAUUAAAAUCUGUCUUGGAAUGAGAGGCCUGAAAAACAAUCAUAAUAUACUGUUGUUGUCUAACAAUAUAUCAAGUUUUUAAUGACUCUUACGAUGCAAUAUUUUUAUCAUUCUUGUAGUUUAUCCACGUGUAUUUAAUAUUACUAGCAGAAAUUUAGAUUUUAGUAAAUUAAUUCUGAUCUUUGUAAAAUAAAAUACUUUAGUUUUCAAUCUAUAUCUAUUAAUUCUUUAGUCCAUGAAUCCAUCUAGCAAUUAUUAUUGAACAAGUUCUAGGAGAUAAGUACUAUACAGUUGCUAAGAAUUCUGAAAGAUCAUCUUAUACCUAUUAUACAGAAGCAGAGCGAGACAAAUGAACCAAAACUUACAUAACACUGUGACAUGUGUUUCAAGUUUAAACAUCUUAAAAAAUACAUUUCAUAAAACUAAAGAUAAAACUUGAUACUUGUUUCUACUACAUUUGGUUUUAUGUACUUAGGCAUAUUAUUUUUGAGUCUGAUAUUAAAUAAGCCAACGUAUGUUUGCA